UAUUGGUAAUCUGCGAAAGCGGGAACCAGCAACGCCGCGUGCGCGAUGAAGGCCUUCGGGUUGUAAAGCGCUUUUCGGGAGGAAGAGGAAGGACUGUACUCCCGGAAUAAGUCUCGGCUAACUACGUGCCAGCAGCCGCGGUAACACGUAGGAGGCAAACGUUAUCCGGAUUUACUGGGCGUAAAGCGCGUGCAGGCUGUUCAAUAAGUUGGGCGUGAAAGCUCCCGGCUCAACUGGGAGAGGUCGUUCAAUACUGUUGGACUAGAGGAUGGUAGAGGGAGGUGGAAUUCCGGGUGUAGUGGUGAAAUGCGCAGAUAUCCGGAGGAACACCAGUGGCGAAAGCGGCCUUCUGGACCAUUCCUGACGCUCAGACGCGAAAGCUAGGGUAGCGAACGGGAUUAGAGACCCCGGUAGUCCUAGCUGUAAACGAUGUGAACUUGGCGUCGGUGGGAUUAAAUCCAUCGGUGUCGUAGCUAACGCGAUAAGU
rnacentral:rRNA from 1 species